rnacentral:rRNA from 1 species
GACCAGACUCCUACGGGAGGCAGCAGUGAGGAAUAUUGGUCAAUGGGCGGGAGCCUGAACCAGCCAAGCCGCGUGAAGGAAGAAGGCGCCAGGCGUCGUAAACUUCUUUUGUCGGGGAACAAAGGGCGCCACGCGUGGCGUUGUGAGUGUACCCGAAGAAAAAGCAUUGGCUAACUCCGUGCCAGCAGCCGCGGUAAUACGUAGGGGGCGAGCGUUAUCCGGAUUCAUUGGGCGUAAAGCGCGCGUAGGCGGCCGCCUAAGCGGAACCUCUACCCCCGGGGCUCAACCUCGGGCCGGGUUCCGGACUGGGCGGCUCGAGUGCGGUAGAGGAGAGCGGAAUUCCCGGUGUAGCGGUGGAAUGCGCAGAUAUCGGGAAGAACACCGAUGGCGAAGGCAGCUCUCUGGGCCGUCACUGACGCUGAGGCGCGAAAGCUGGGGGAGCGAACAGGAUUAGAUACCCCAGUA